UACGUAUGGUGCAAGCGUUAUCCGGAUCUACUGGGUGUAAAGGGAGCGUAGGCGGCGCGUUAAGUCUGAUGUGAAAACCCGAGGCUCAACCACGGGAGUGCAUUGGAAACUGGCGGGCUGGAGUGCCGGAGAGGUAAGCGGAAUUCCUAGUGUAGCGGUGAAAUGCGUAGAUAUUAGGAGGAACACCAGUGGCGAAGGCGGCUUACUGGACGGCAACUGACGCUGAGGCUCGAAAGCGUGGGGAGCAAACAGG
rnacentral:rRNA from 1 species